AUACGGAGGAUCCGAGCGUUAUCCGGAUUUGUUGGGUUUAAAGGGUGCGCAGGCGGCCAUUUAAGUCAGCGGUUAAAUCGUGGGGCUCAACCCCAUUCUGCCGUUGAUACUGGGUGGCUUGAUUGCGGUCGAGGUUGGCGGAAUUCGUUGUGUAGCGGUGAAAUGCAUAGAUAUGACGAAGAACACCGAUUGCGUAGGCAGCUGACCAGACCGCAAAUGACGCUCAUGCACGAAAGUGCGGGGAUCGAACAGGAUUAGAUACCCUGGUAGUCCGCACAGUAAACGAUGAAUACUUGUUUUCGGCGAUAUAAUGUCGGAGGCAAAGCGAAAGCGAUAAGUAUUCCACCUGGGGAGUACGCCGGCAACGGUGAAACUCAAAUGAAUUGACGGGG
rnacentral:rRNA from 1 species